GUAUAAAGUUAUGCCAUCCUGAAUGCAUCUGAUCUGAUCUCUUCUCAGAAGUAAGCAGGGUUGGGCCUGCUUAGUACUUGGAUGGGAGAAGAUAUGUCAAGAGUGUCUUGUGUUUUAAGAA
rnacentral:rRNA from 1 species